rnacentral:rRNA from 1 species
CACGAAGUUAGCCGGGGCUUCUUCUCCGACUACCGUCAUUAUCUUCAUCGGUGAAAGAGCUUUACAACCCUAAGGCCUUCAUCACUCACGCGGCAUGGCUGGAUCAGGCUUGCGCCCAUUGUCCAAUAUUCCCCACUGCUGCCUCCCGUAGGAGUCUGGGCCGUGUCUCAGUCCCAGUGUGGCUGAUCAUCCUCUCAGACCAGCUAAAGAUCGUCGCCUUGGUAGGCCAUUACCCCACCAACUAGCUAAUCUUACGCGGGCUCAUCUAAUUCCGAUAAAUCUUUCCCCCGUAGGGCGUAUACGGUAUUAGCAGUCGUUUCCAACUGUUGUUCCGUAGAACUAGGUAGAUUCCCACGCGUUACUCACCCGUCUGCCACUCCCCUUGCGGGGCGUUCGACUUGCAUGUGUUAAGCCUGCCGCCAGCGUUCGUUCUGAGCCAGGAUCAAACUC